AGAGUUUGAUCCUGGCUCAGAUUGAACGCUGGCGGCAGGCUUAACACAUGCAAGUCGAGCGGAAACGAUACCAGCUUGCUGGUAGGCGUCGAGCGGCGGACGGGUGAGUAAUACUUAGGAAUCUACCUAGUAGUGGGGGAUAGCUCGGGGAAACUCGAAUUAAUACCGCAUACGACCUACGGGAGAAAGGGGGCAGUUUACUGCUCUCGCUAUUAGAUGAGCCUAAGUCGGAUUAGCUAGAUGGUGGGGUAAAGGCCUACCAUGGCGACGAUCUGUAGCUGGUCUGAGAGGAUGAUCAGCCACACCGGGACUGAGACACGGCCCGGACUCCUACGGGAGGCAGCAGUGGGGAAUAUUGGACAAUGGGGGAAACCCUGAUCCAGCCAUGCCGCGUGUGUGAAGAAGGCCUUUUGGUUGUAAAGCACUUUAAGCAGUGAAGAAGACUCCUCGGUUAAUACCCGUGGACGAUGACAUUAGCUGCAGAAUAAGCACCGGCUAACUCUGUGCCAGCAGCCGCGGUAAUACAGAGAGUGCAAGCGUUAAUCGGAAUUACUGGGCGUAAAGCGAGCGUAGGUGGCUUGAUAAGUCAGAUGUGAAAUCCCCGGGCUUAACCUGGGAACUGCAUCUGAAACUGUUAGGCUAGAGUAGGUGAGAGGAAGGUAGAAUUCCAGGUGUAGCGGUGAAAUGCGUAGAGAUCUGGAGGAAUACCGAUGGCGAAGGCAGCCUUCUGGCAUUAUACUGACACUGAGGCUCGAAAGCGUGGGUAGCAAACAGGAUUAGAUACCCUGGUAGUCCACGCCGUAAACGAUGUCUACUAGUCGUUGGGUCCCUUGAGGACUUAGUGACGCAGCUAACGCAAUAAGUAGACCGCCUGGGGAGUACGGCCGCAAGGUUAAAACUCAAAUGAAUUGACGGGGGCCCGCACAAGCGGUGGAGCAUGUGGUUUAAUUCGAUGCAACGCGAAGAACCUUACCUGGUCUUGACAUAUCUAGAAUCCUGCAGAGAUGCGGGAGUGCCUUCGGGAAUUAGAAUACAGGUGCUGCAUGGCUGUCGUCAGCUCGUGUCGUGAGAUGUUGGGUUAAGUCCCGCAACGAGCGCAACCCUUGUCCUUAGUUACCAGCGGGUUAAGCCGGGAACUCUAAGGAUACUGCCAGUGACAAACUGGAGGAAGGCGGGGACGACGUCAAGUCAUCAUGGCCCUUACGACCAGGGCUACACACGUGCUACAAUGGUAGGUACAGAGGGCAGCUACACAGCGAUGUGAUGCGAAUCUCAAAAAGCCUAUCGUAGUCCAGAUUGGAGUCUGCAACUCGACUCCAUGAAGUAGGAAUCGCUAGUAAUCGCGGAUCAGAAUGCCGCGGUGAAUACGUUCCCGGGCCUUGUACACACCGCCCGC
rnacentral:rRNA from 1 species